UGGGAGGUCCCCAAACAAUUGGAACACUCCAAGGGUAUGGCCAUGUUCCAUCAAAAAAGGCCCUGGAUUGGCUCUAUGAUUGCACUCUGAGCAAGCAGGACGACUUGGUAAGGUGGCAAGAGUUCUGAUGACACAACUUAGAGGCCAACCACAAGCCAGAGAAUUAAAUUUCUGUAUUAACUGAAAGCAUCAAUGCACAGCCUAUGCAUUUCUGUGAGUACUUACCCACAAAGUGGGUUAUAUGGUGUUGGCCCUGGCUACUGCCUGGAAAUAAUGUGGAAUUUCCCAGUGACUUGAAUGCUUUGGUUCAGAUCCCAAUUUUCAUCUGUCAAUAUGGCUUUUUUGUCUUCUUUGUUAGUGUUGGUCUUAUCUGGUUAUGACACAUUAUUUCUUUAAAUGUGUUGGGCUGACAGGUUUAGCAAAUAAAAAUGCAAGACACCCAAAUAAAUUUUAAUUUCAGAUAAACAAUGAAAAAAAGUAAUUUUCUGAAAUUUAAAUUGAACUAGCAGCCCUAUACGUGUGCUUAUAGCUUUGAUACAGCUUGGGUUGUAGUCAUGUAGUUGUUCCCACAGAACAGAAUAGUUCUGCCCAAGUAUUACUUUUUAAUUCCAAUACUUCAGUUCUGGUAGUUCUUCUUCAUUUCAGGAAAGAUCCACAAAUUUGGAUCACCUACCCCUUCCUUCCAGAGCCCCCCAAAAACACAAGGAGUGGAAGCACAAAGUACCCUGGGAGGUGAGGUUGAGGAGCAGAGUUGGAAGCAAGGGGAUUAUUUGAAAAGUUUAUUUGUGCCCUCCUUUUGUAGCCAGGUGACUAUACCUCUGACUAGCCAAAGAUCAGAGGCUUAUUUCUAGAGAAGUUGAACCAAAGGCCCAGUUAGACUAAGAACUGGGACUGGGGGAGAGUGGUAGUGAAGUACUAUCCUGAAAACAGGAUGAGAGAAUGUAUUUUGAACAUUAUGAGCUAUCAGUCCCUUUUGUCCACCAGCUACAUGAUCUGGCAGCCAGGCUUAUACCAGUCCUGUCCACCCAAUCCAGAAAGAUGAAAAAAUUUAAAAAACAAACAAAAAAAAAAAAACAGCUGGCCACUUGAUUAUUUGUUGCAGUGAAAUUCUGCUCAUUCAGACACGGCUUUCAGUCACUUGAACUCACCAUGAACUGAUAGCUAAGAAUCAUUAUCAUUAGACAUUUGAGGAUACCUUCAACAAUGAAAGAUGAGAACCAAAACAAAAUGACUGGGGGGGGGGGGGGGGGGGGGGGGGAAUAGUGCAGGGAACAUAAAACUCCCAAAGAAGCUAUAAUAUUCUCAGAAACUUAGGGGAAUAUAUUGCAUCUAUGAAAUAACAGGAUGCUAUUAAAAAAAUGAAGAAUCGGAAAAUAAAAGCAUUGGGAAAAAUAAGCCAAAAUGAAACAUUUGGUAGAUGUGUUGGAAGGUAAGUUAAAGAAAUUUUUGAAAGAAGAAAAAGGCAGAGAUGAAAAAUAGGAAAAUAAGAUCGGAAUGGGAUGCAACAUCUGAUGAAUAAAAACCUCAAAAUGAGAGAAAAGAGGUGAAAAGAGAAAAAAAGAUUUCCCAAAAACAGGACAUAGGUCUUCUAAACUAACAGGAUCUACUGAGUGCCCAUCACAAUGAACUAAAAAAUAAAAAAGCACAUCAUGAUAUUUCAGGAUCCCAGGGCUAAAGAUCCUAAAAGUUUCCCAAGGGGGAAAACAAGGUUUACAGAAAAGGGUAUUUUCAGAAUGGCAUUCAGACUUUUUGGAAGACUAUGAAAGCAAGGCCUUCUAAUUUAAAAAUUCUGAUCUAGAAUUCUAUAUCCAGUCAAUCCAAGUAUGGGGCUAACCUAAAGGUCAGACUUGCAUGAUCUCAGAAUGUUACCUUACCAGGUACCCUUUCUUCGGAGACUACUGGAGGAUGUGCUUCACCAAAACAAAGGAGUAAUCUAGUCAGAAGGCAUGGGAUCCUCAAAACAUAAGAUCUCACAAAGGACUACAAUAAAGGAAAAACCCCAGGAUGACUGCUGUGUCAAGCUGCCCGCAGGCAUCUGGGACUGGGGCUUGCUUCCCCCUGACCCCCACUUCAUCAGGAAGGACAUCUGGAAUGAUGUCCAGAAAACGUCUAGUCUAAUUAGCAUAUUACCCUUUUAUUAUUACAGAGGCUUAUGUAUUCUUGGAAUAAAUUUUGAUUUAAUUGCAUAUGAUUGUGUGGUGAUACAUUUUUUUUCUUUGUCAUCAAAUCCAUUAAGGAGCCCUAGAUGGUUGGCUCAGUGGAUAGAGUGUCAGCCCGCAGACUGAAGAGUCCCGGGUUUGAUUUCGAUCAAGGACAUGUACCUUGGUGACAGGUUCCCCGGCCCUUGGUUGGGGUGGGUGCAGGAGGCAACCAAUCUUUCUCACAUCAAUGUUUCUUCUCUCCCUCUCCCUUCUACUCUCUCUAAAAAAUCGAUGGAAAAAUAUCCUCGGGUGAGGAUUAACAACAAA